rnacentral:rRNA from 1 species
UACAGAGGGCCCAAGCGUUGUUCGGAUUUAUUGGGCGUAAAGGGUGCGUAGGCGGCGGGGCAAGUCGGAUGUGAAAUCUCGGGGCUCAACCUCGAAACUGCAUUCGAUACUGCCUUGCUAGAGUACUGGAGAGGAGAUCGGAAUUUACGGUGUAGCGGUGAAAUGCGUAGAUAUCGUAAGGAAGACCAGUGGCGAAGGCGGAUCUCUGGACAGUUUCUGACGCUGAGGCACGAAAGCCAGGGGAGCAAACGGG